ensembl:lncRNA
UCAGGUUAACAUAACUGCUGUAACUGUUUUAUCUUCCAGAACAACGAGUCUCUUGUCAACAUUUCCUCUGCAUUACCCAAUGUGACCCUGGUCCUGAAUGUCCAGUCUUUUACAAAGGCACACACUGGACAAUACCAAUGCAAGACCUACCCACCCCAUACCAUUAGUCCUGCUUUUAGUAUUCAAAUAGCAAGCACCAACCACCUUGCGGCCGCAGCGCAAUGCAGCAGCUUCGGCAAUGGAAAUGCUGAACAUGGUCCAUUCGGACUCAAUGUCCCCAGUCUCCCUCGGAAUGCUGCUGAAGCUCUGCCGGAGGUGUGCGUUGAAGAUCUCGCGGACUGGGGCCUCUGCUAGACGUUCCCAGCACACCCUCACUACGCGUUUAGGUGCACCAGGUCUGUCCAGCGUCCUCCCCCGCCACCUGAUCCAACUCACCACCAGGUGGUGAUCAGUUGACAGCUCAGCCCCUCUCUUUACCCGAGUGUCCAGAACAUAUGGUCGCAGGUCAGGUGAUACGAUUACAAAAUCGAUCAUCGACCUACAGCCUAGAGCGUCCUGGUGCCACGUGCACUUAUGGACACUCUUAUGUUCGAACAAGGUGUUCGUUAUGGCCAAACUGUGAUUAGCACAGAAGUCCAACAACAAAACACAGCUUGGGGUCAGAUCAGGAAGGUUGUUCCUUCCAAUCACGCCCCUCCAGGUCUCGCUGUUGUUACCCACGUGAGCAUUGAAGUCUCCCAGCAGGACAACAGAGGCUCCAGGUGGAGCACCUUCCAGCACCACCCCCCCCCCCAGGGUCUUUAAGAAGGCUGGGUACUCUGAACUGCCACUUGGCAGAUGACAGUUGGGACCUGUUCCCCGACCCUAAGGUGCAGGGAACAAACCCUCUCAUCCACCGGGAAGAACCCCAACGUACCGGCAGCAAGCCGAAGGGAUAUUAGAAUACCCACCCCAGCCCACCAACUCUCACCAGGGGCAACUCCAGACUGAGACAGAGUCCAUUCCCUCUCCAGGAGACUGGUUCCAGAGCCCAAGCCAUGCGUAGAGGUGAGCCCGACUAUAUCUAGCCGGUACCUCUCAACCUCACGCACUAACUCAGGCUCCUUCCCCACCAGAGAGGUGACAUUCCAUGUCCCUAUUGCCAGUCUUGGUAGCCAGGGAUCAGUCCGCCAGGGCCUCCGCUCCUGGCCGCCGUCCGGCACCCAAUGCACCCAAUGCGCCUUCUGUGGGUGGGUGGGCCUGCAGGAGUGUGGGCCCAUGUCCUCUUUUCGGGCUGUGCCCGGCCAGGCCCCAUGGACUAAGGCCCGGCCACCAGACACUCGCCCUUGGGCACCCUCCCUGGGCCUGGCUCCAGGGCGGGGCCCCGGUAACCCUAUAAGUCUUGCCGGCUUUAUAGUCAGUGUUCAGUCAAGUCAAAUCCAAAAGGUCAAAAGUCUGUGAUGGGUGUGAUUUUGUCCAACCGCUCUGUUGCAAUUCUUCGUGAGAGAAGAGCAACCUGCCCUUCUGGGCCAACUCGGAAUGGCUGUGGUUCGGUUCAAAGGGAACAGCUCGCCAUCUUCCUCGUCAGGAAGAGAUCCAGGUCUCACGAUCCCACAAAAAAAGCCAGCACGCUUCUAAUGUUCAACUCUCAGAGAGGAUAUUGUCCGCUUCCUCCGCGCCCGUGCAGAUCACGAUGGUUCCAAAGUGUUCACAACAAAUCAGGUCCGUUUCUCCAAGGUCCAUGCAGAUCUCCGGUAUGGAUAUCUGCUCAGUUUCUCAAGUUUAUAGUUAUUUUCCAGCAACAAGCUGGUCCCGUGCACAUCCGUCUCUGUCUGUGUCUGAGCACAUGUUGUGCCAAAAAGUGAUCAGCCCACUGAAGCAUGUUAUAUUAAUAUUAAUAUUUUAUUAAAUGAUCAUUGAAAAAGGCAGACUGUAAUAACACUUUUGUGUGAACUGUAAAGUGAAUUUAUUUAUUGAUCCCAUUUAGAACAACAGAGGUUAAUCCAAAGUGUUUUCCAGGAAAGUGCAUUCACAUUCCAGCUUUCCAGAAAACCCAGUUUGGAACAUGUGAACAGUGUGUAUUACUGUUUUUAGGCUAUCAUGACUUAUUCCUGGUCUGAUUAACACUCCUCUGUCCAGAUAACUUCACAGGAAAACCACCUUCCUUGACCAUCAGCAGCCCAAAGUGUAACUGCACCCAGCAGACCCACAAUGCAGCAGGUCUGAAGGGUCAGCUGUGGUUCUGGGUGCUUCUGGGAAAAACUACCAUCCUGCUCCUGAGCCUGGCCUCGCUGGCUGUAAAACACAAGACAGAAUGAGAUCAGACGGACACCCAUAUCUCCUCUCAGCAUUGCUUUGUUUGUAUUAUUCAGUUUUAAGAUGUAGCCUCUUUUAUUCUGUCUUCUUUUAAAUUUAAGCUCUGCAUUAUUUAGUCCGCAAUUAACACGCAUGCACACACACAUUUGACUAAAUACCCACUGCAAGGAACAAUCAGUUUAUACUGGGGCUCACUCAUUUGCAGUAAAUUUGUUUAUUUGUGGUGUCUGAUUUGCUGAAGCUUUGCUCUUUAAAUUAACACCAGGAUCCAUGAUUUUGCUAAUUAUUUUCAUCAUGAUUUGCUUAAAAUAAUGAAAACAUGACAAAGGUGUUUUUAAAACAACUCGAGACAUUAAAACAGUAAAUAAUUCCCUUAUUAACUCUCCAAUAGUUUGCUCUGAGGCUGCAUAACCAACACCAGAUUAUGUCGACUCCUUGAGUGGAUGGACGGGAACAUGAUAGUAUUCCUCAGUAUUAUUGUCUGCACAUAGAGAGGGCUAGAUGAACAUGGGGCACUGGUUUAGGUCACUGUUGUGAUCUACAUCCUGAAAGGUUAAUGAUGCAGAGGCCCUGAGCUGCUCGCUGCUCCUCUUUGUCCCAGCUUUCUUCUGUUCUCUUCACUGUCAUGCUGCUAAAUAAAUGCAACAAAUAAAA